ACCCGCUGAACUUAAGCAUAUCAAUAAGCGGAGGAAAAGAAACCAACAGGGAUUGCCUCAGUAACGGCGAGUGAAGCGGCAACAGCUCAAAUUUGAAAUCUGGCCUUUACGGUCCGAGUUGUAAUUUGUAGAGGAUGUUUUGGGUACCGCCGCGGUUUAAAUUUCUUGGAACAGAAUGUCAGAGAGGGUGAGAGUCCCGUCUUGGAUCGCGGUAGGGCCUGUGUAAAACUCCUUCGACGAGUCGACUUGUUUGGGAAUGCAGGUCAAAAUGGGUGGUAAAUUUCAUCUAAAGCUAAAUAUUGGCCAGAGACCGAUAGCGCACAAGUAGAGUGAUCGAAAGAUGAAAAGCACUUUGAAAAGAGAGUUAAGCAGUAUGUGAAAUUGUUGAAAGGGAAGCGCUGGCAACCAGACUCGCGCGCGGGGUUCCCCCUUGCUUCUGCUUGGGUUAUUUCCCCGUGUCCGGGCCAUCAUCAGUUUUGGGGGCCGGUUAAAGGUCUUGGGAAUGUAUCUACUCCUUCGGGGGUAGACUUAUAGCCCAGGGCGUCAUGCGGCCACCCGGGACUGAGGAACGCGCUUCGGCGAGGAUGAUGGCGUAAUGGUUGU
rnacentral:rRNA from 1 species